UGCGUAGGUGGCAUGGCAAGUUUGAUGUGAAAUCUCCGGGCUCAACCCGGAAAUGGCAUUGAAUACUGCUGUGCUGGAGGUUUGGAGGGGGGGACUGGAAUUCUCGGUGUAGCAGUGAAAUGCGUAGAUAUCGAGAGGAACACCAGUGGCGAAGGCGAGUGACUGGCGCGUUCCUGACGCUGAGGUGCGAAAGCUAGGGGAGCAAACA
rnacentral:rRNA from 1 species